rnacentral:rRNA from 1 species
AGGACGAACGCUGGCGGCGUGCCUAAUACAUGCAAGUAGAACGCUGAAGGAGGAGCUUGCUCUUCUGGAUGAGUUGUGAACGGGUGAGUAACGCGUAGGUAACCUGCCUGGUAGCGGGGGAUAACUAUUGGAAACGAUAGCUAAUACCGCAUAAGAGUAGAUGUUGCAUGACAUUUGCUUAAAAGGUGCAAUUGCAUCACUACCAGAUGGACCUGCGUUGUAUUAGCUAGUUGGUGAGGUAACGGCUCACCAAGGCGACGAUACAUAGCCGACCUGAGAGGUGAUCGGCCACACUGGGACUGAGACACGCCAGACUCGAGGGAGCAGCAGGUAGGAAUCGUCGGCAAUGGACGGAAGUCUGACCGAGCAACGCCGCGUGAGUAGAAGUAAGGUUUUCGAAUACGUAAAGCUACUGACGUAGUAAAGAAGAAAGAACGAGGUGUAGAGAAGGUAGGAAAGUUCAAC